CAUGCCAAUUUUAAAGAGGAAGAAAGUGAAGCUCAGGGAAAUUGGUAUUUGCAGAAUCAAAUUAAUCACACUAGUUUUCUCCUGUUUAAUCACAGACCCACAGGACAAAAGAGAAACUUUGAAGAUAUAAUCAGAGGACCUUGAAAGAACAGCUACCUGUAUUUAAUUAUUGGAACAGUUUCUGGACGCCUCAUUCACCAGCGGUGUGGUCUUCGACACUCUCUGCACUCUUUGGACUAUGUCUGCUUCAUCAGUGCCUUCAUCCCAACCAGCCCAAUGCCCGACACACGCAGGAACCAUGGUGUCAGAUGACCCAGUCUAGAAGUGCUUCUACUCCAGCCUGGACCAGAACCCUCAGAUUCUUCUGUUGGAACUGGGACACCAGCACAGUCUCAUUGUGUUUCUCAUGCAUUCGCCCUUCCUCAUCCAUGUGAACGCAAUCAUUGGAUACUUCAUUUACUCAAAGGGAUAAAUGACAGAAAAAUUAAAGAAGCAUCUUAUACCACGUUCUUAGCAGGUACAAAAGCCUUAAUGCAAAGGUGUCAGAGUGGAAGUUCUGGCUUUUGCCAGCUGGUGGGGAAGAUUUUUGUGGUAUUGUGUUAGGAAUUUCCCUUUCCUUUAGGAAUCAUAUCUCAUAGUUUGAAUGCCAGAAGAAGGUCUUCAUAAAGUGAGUGAUUGUGCCUUGAAAUUCAGCAGAGAAAUGGAAUGGAGAUCUGGAGGAGUAGGACCUGGAGAGUGUCUAUUUGCUUUUUAUUUUGCAAAAAUAGACUAAACUAGAGAAUAUGUGUAUGCCAGUGGGAAUGAGCCAGGAGAGAGGGAAUAAGUAAUGAUGAAGAAGAGGGGGGACAAUUUAAGGGACAAAGUCCGUGAGUAGCAAGGGGCAAUGGUAUCAUGAGUACAAGUGUAGGAACUGGCCUUUGAUGGGAGGAGGGACAAUUCUUUCCUUGUGUCAGGGAAGAAGGAAGAGAAUUAGGGUGGAUAUUAGGUAGCUGGGUAGAUUACACAGUGGGAAGAUACAGCUGCUUCUAUCUGGUUGCUUUUAUUCUCUCAAUGCCUUCUGGGUGAUAUCGAGUGCUGAGUGUGGGGUUGGUGACUGGGGAGCAUGCAUUGGGGAUUUGAAGAUAGAGAAAA
rnacentral:lncRNA from 1 species